UGAGGAAUAUUGGUCAAUGGGCGAGAGCCUGAACCAGCCAAGUCGCGUGAAGGAAGACAGUCCUAAGGAUUGUAAACUUCUUUUAUACGGGAAUAACGGGCGAUACGAGUAUUGCAUUGAAUGUACCGUAAGAAUAAGCAUCGGCUAGCUCCGUGCCAGCAGCCGCGGUAAUACGGAGGAUGCGAGCGUUAUCCGGAUUUAUUGGGUUUAAAGGGUGCGUAGGUUGUUCGGUAAGUCAGCGGUGAAACCUGAGCGCUCAACGUUCAGCCUGCCGUUGAAACUGCCGGGCUUGAGUUCAGUGGCGGCAGGCGGAAUUCGUGGUGUAGCGGUGAAAUGCAUAGAUAUCACGAGGAACUCCGAUUGCGAAGGCAGCUUGCCAUACUGCGACUGACACUGAAGCACGAAGGCGUGGGUAUCAAACAGG
rnacentral:rRNA from 1 species